rnacentral:rRNA from 1 species
CCUACGGGCGGCAGCAGUGGGGAAUAUUGGACAAUGGGGGGAACCCUGAUCCAGCCAUGCCGCGCGUGUGAAGAAGGCCCUCGGGUUGUAAAGCACUUUCAGUGAGGAAGAACGCCUGGUGGUUAAUACCCAUCAGGAAAGACAUCACUCACAGAAGAAGCACCGGCUAACUCCGUGCCAGCAGCCGCGGUAAUACGGAGGGUGCGAGCGUUAAUCGGAAUUACUGGGCGUAAAGCGCGCGUAGGUGGCUUGAUAAGCCGGUUGUGAAAGCCCCGGGCUCAACCUGGGAACGGCAUCCGGAACUGUCAAGCUAGAGUGCAGGAGAGGAAGGUAGAAUUCCCGGUGUAGCGGUGAAAUGCGUAGAGAUCGGGAGGAAUACCAGUGGCGAAGGCGGCCUUCUGGACUGACACUGACACUGAGGUGCGAAAGCGUGGGUAGCAAACAGGAUUAGAUACCCUUGUAGUC